UACGUAGGGUGCGAGCGUUAAUCGGAAUUACUGGGCGUAAAGCGUGCGUAGGCGGCCUGUCACGUCCGCUGUGAAAUCCCGGGGCUCAACCCCGGGCCUGCAGUGGAUACGGGCUGGCUGGAGGCAGGCAGGGGAGAACGGAAUUCCUGGUGUAGCGGUGAAAUGCGCAGAUAUCAGGAGGAACACCGGUGGCGAAGGCGGUUCUCUGGGCCUGUACUGACGCUGAGGAGCGAAAGCGUGGGGAGCGAACAGG
rnacentral:rRNA from 1 species